rnacentral:rRNA from 1 species
AUUGAACGCUGGCGGCAUGCCUUACACAUGCAAGUCGAACGGCAGCACGGGAGCAAUCCUGGUGGCGAGUGGCGAACGGGUGAGUAAGGUAUCGGAACGUGCCCAGUCGUGGGGGAUAACGUAGCGAAAGUUACGCUAAUACCGCAUACGCACUGAGGUGGAAAGCAGGGGAUCGCAAGACCUUGCGCUAUACGAGCGGCCGAUGUCAGAUUAGCUAGUUGGUAGGGUAAAGGCCUACCAAGGCGACGAUCUGUAGCGGGUCUGAGAGGAUGAUCCGCCACACUGGGACUGAGACACGGCCCAGACUCCUACGGGAGGCAGCAGUGGGGAAUUUUGGACAAUGGGCGAAAGCCUGAUCCAGCCAUGCCGCGUGAGUGAAGAAGGCCUUCGGGUUGUAAAGCUCUUUCGGCUGGGAAGAAAUCGCACAGGCUAAUACUCUGUGUGGAUGACGGUACCAGCACAAGAAGCACCGGCUAACUACGUGCCAGCCGCCGCAGUAA